GAUGAACGCUAGCGGGAGGCCUAACACAUGCAAGCCGAGCGGUAGAGUUUCUUCGGAAACUUGAGAGCGGCGCACGGGUGCGUAACACGUGUGCAACCUACCUUUAUCUGGGGGAUAGCCUUUCGAAAGGAAGAUUAAUACCCCAUAAUAUAAUGAUUGGCAUCAAUUAUUAUUGAAAACUCUGGUGGAUAGAGAUGGGCACGCGCAAGAUUAGAUAGUUGGUGAGGUAACGGCUCACCAAGUCAAUGAUCUUUAGGUGUCCUGAGAGGGAGAUCCCCCACAAUGGUACUGAGACACGGACCAGAAUCCUACGGGAGGGAGGAGUGAGGAAUAUUGGAGGAUGGGUGAGAGCCUGAUCAAGCCAUCCCGCGUGAAGGAGGACGGUCCUAUGGAUUGUAAACUUCUUUUGUACAAGGAUAAAACGACACUCGUGAGGGUAGCUGAAGGUACUGUAAGAAUAAGCACCGGCUAACUCCGUG
rnacentral:rRNA from 1 species